AGAGAUAACGGUGAGGGCUUCAAACCCAUCGUGUCAUUUGAAUCUCUGGGUGGAUGAGCCUGUGGAAAACUUUUGAAUCGACCGGAUGCAAUCAUCAGAAAUACAGAAAAGAAAAGGAGGAUGUCUUGAAGCCCCUCAGACAGAAACUACAAGCUGAGAGCUUGUGCAGGAUGUUGUAGUACACAGAUCACACGCUGUGACGGCAAAGAUACCGUGACUCUGGUUAAUUUCAAAGGAAAAUUUCCAGAUGAAGGCUUUUUUUUCUAACCUGCUGGAGCUGUCACUCAAAUUAGGUGCUGUCGGGAAAGAGAGAGAGCGAGACAAAAAAAAGAAAAAAGAAAAACCUCAAUAUCCAGCGAGUUCACAAA